UGUUCAGCAACGCCUAUCCCUACCUACUCGCUGUACUAGUCGGGGUUCGAGCAACUUCAGGGAAGAUCGGGUAACCAACCCCGGUGGGAACUCAGGUCGUAUGUUGACAGGAAAGG
rnacentral:ribozyme from 1 species